AUUGAACGCUGGCGGCAGGCCUAACACAUGCAAGUCGAGCGGAGCGGCGGACGGGAGAGUAAUGCCUAGGAAUCUGCCUGGUAGUGGGGGAUAACGUCCGGAAACGGGCGCUAAUACCGCAUACUAUCAGAUGAGCCUAGGUCGGAUUAGCUAGUGGGUGGGGUAAAGGCAUACCAAGGCGACGAUCCGUAACUGGUCUGAGCGGAUGAUCAUUCACACUGGACAUGGGAAACGGUCCAGCAUCCCACGGGAGGCAGCAGUGGGGAAUAUUGGACAAGGGGCGAAAGCCUGAUCCAGCCAUGCCGCGUGUGUGAAGAAGUUCUUCGGAUUGUAAAGCACUUUAAGUUGGGAGGCGUUACCAACAGAAUAAGCACCGGCUAACUUCGUGCCAGCCGCCGCGGUAAUUC
rnacentral:rRNA from 1 species